AAUGUUUAUGGCAAUUGUAUGAAUAUGUUUAUAUAUAUCUAAGUAGAUAGGGAUGGAUGCUAGUUCAUUUUUUGUAUCACUAGUUGUGUAUCUUGUCUGUUCCAAUCAAUUUCUAGUUAUGGGUUUUCAUAAUCACUUUAACAAAUAUAUAGUGGGCAAAAUAAUGACAGCAUUAUCAGAGGAGGCUUACCACAACGACAUACAUGUGGAAUGGGAAAAAGCUAAAAUAAUAAAACCUAUUACCGCUGCGACACAAUCCUACACCCAAGAAGCACUAGAGAUCACCAUGAAAUGAAAUAGGCAACACCUCGUCAAUGAUAG
rnacentral:lncRNA from 1 species